UUGUCUACAUAAAGUGUGUGUGCCAUUCUCUUCAACUCUGUGCAUCAAAAGCCGUCAGUGUCCUCCCCAGAAAUGUUGAGUACAUGGUUUCUCAGACCUACAGUUGGUUUUCAAAUGCCACCCAGCGUCUCCAAAAAUAUUCUGAACUGUACAAAACCAUAAAUGUAGGUGAAAGCCCGCUGAAGAUUCUGCAACUGUCUGACACUAGGUGGCUCGCUAUUAGUGAGUGCAUCAACCGGAUCCUUUCACAGUAUGUGGAGCUUAAGUUGCAUUUUCAUUUGACAAAAGACAGUGAGAGGAGCUAUGCUGCGGAACUGCUGUACCAAAUGUAUAGUGACAAUAUUAACCUGAUAUACCUGAAAUUCCUCCAACCAAUUGUGUCAGAGUUAAACAGACUUAAUAAAAUCUUUCAACUUGACAAACCUGAUCCUGCAAAACUUCUUACGGAACUUCUAACAUUUUACCGGUCCCUGCUUGAGCGCAUAGGUUUGCCGAAGACAUUCCAGAGCUGGCAAGACAUCAUGGAGUUUAACCUUUCUGAUGAGAAUCUUUUGCCACUUGAUGCCGUAGACUUUGGGGUGCAGUUCCGUCUUGCUUUGUUUGAAGCCAAUGGAAUAAGUGACCUAGCUGAGCAGGACAUGAAACGCAGGUGCAGGGACUACAUGCUAGAGUUAUCUAAGGAAAUUAGGAAGAGACUUCCAGAUAACAUUAAACAGUUAGAGGCUCUCAAAUUCCUGUCACCGAGUCAUACUCUGUCGUCAAGUAAGCCAAGGAUUGAUGAUCUUCCCUUUUUCCACCUCUUCAAGGGAGAUGUAGGAAAAGCAGAGCAACAGUGGAGAGUAAUUCACACUCUGGAAUGGAACAAUGCAGAAGAUGGCAAAACAGAGGACUUCUGGGUAGAAGUUUCUGCAUACACAGAUACUGCAGGUGAUAGAAACUUUGAAGAUCUUGGUAAUUUUGCAUUGAGUCUUCUUGCUCUACCAUUCAGCAAUGCAGCAGUUGAGCGUUCAUUUUCCCAAAUGUCACUGAUAAAGAACAAGCUACGAAACAGGCUAGAGCAGAAUUCUUUGCUAAAUAUAAUGAGGAUUCGAGCUUACAUGCAAAGAAGAAACAUGUGCUGCCAUGAAUUUAAACCAUCACCACGGAUGCUUUCUCUCUUUACUGCUGAAAUCUAUUCAGCACCACCUGAGAAGGGUGGGGAAGAGAGCACCAAUGUCUAAAAUAAAACAGCCCUGAGAUUGUAUAUAGUUCUGUUCAAAUCUGUAAUCAAAAUGAGGCUGCGCAGUUAGACCAUCUAAGAAGAAAAUGUUGUGAAAAGUUCUGAAAAAAGAGAAGACAAACAACAACAAAAACAAAGGGAAAAGUGUUCAAGUUCACCCAAACAGCCGCAGAUCUGGAGAGAAAAGCAUCAGAGAGAAGUGCUGACAAGAGAAAAAGUAAGUACAAGUUAGUACUUCUGACUAGGAUCAGAAAAUAUCAGAGAGGACAUGUUCUUAUUUGACCUUUAUUGUAUGAGAUUGUGUAUUAAAAAAAACACAGUGUGUGAUAUUAAGAAUUUGGGUAAGACAAAAGGCCAAUACUUCAAACUUAAACUUAUAUAAAUUUAUUUUAAGGCCCUUUGUGGGAAUCCAGCCGUUGUCUAAUCUGAUUGGACACUGAAAAAUUGGGCUAGUUUUCAUUCCAUUUGGGCGGAUUUUGAGUUGUCAUUGGGCUGGAAAUAUUUCUGGGACCUGGCAACCCUGGGCGGAGGAUCGCGAUGUCGGCUCAGCAUCGUGAUGUCUAUCUGCCAUCGGCGAUGGACGAUGGCAUCGUCUAUCGACCCAACCCUAUUGUCCAACUCUUAA